UCAAAUUAGAGCUUGUUAAAGUAUUUCAUUUACAUUGAAAAGAAAUUAAUAUUUAAUUGAUUUGAU
rnacentral:tRNA from 1 species